rfam:Perkinsus marinus ATCC 50983 gcontig_1104296664290, whole genome shotgun sequence.
GUCUCGGUAGCUCAGCCGGCAGAGCGCGUGCCUUUUAAGCCCGUGGCCGCGGGUUCGAGCCCCGCCCGAGGUG